UGCGUCAGCUGAAUCUUGAUC
rnacentral:piRNA from 1 species